rnacentral:rRNA from 1 species
CCCUUAGAUGUUCUGGGCCGCACGCGUGCUACACUGAGUGGAUCAGCGGGUCAGGUUGCGCGAAAGCGUUUCCUAAUCUUUAAAUCCGCUCGUGAUGGGGAUUGACGGUUGCAAUUUUCUGUCAUGAACGAGGAAUACCUUGUAAGCGCGGGUCAUCAUCCCGCGCUGAAUACGUCCCUGCCCUUUGUACACACCGCCCGUCGCUCCUACCGAUGAAUCGUCCGGUGAAGUUCAUGGAGGGGCGGUUGUUUCAACUGCCGUUGAAGUGAAAUGGACCUCACGAUUUAGAGGAAGGAGAAGUCGUAACA